UUUUUUCACCAAACUAAGCGAAUCAGUAACGACCUCGAUUCCCUACGUUGGCAUCAUCCGAUAUAAUUAAUGGGCUUCGACCCAAUCGGCGACCAUCGGGAGUCUCUAUAAAUACCGGUGUAAUUUAUCGGCGUUAUUUUUAUUGCGAGUGCGGCUGCACGGGGCCAAUUCAUUCCGUCCUGCGUGCUUUUUCGUGAGUUACGGAACGCGGGAAAUGGGGUCGGAUUCGAGUUAGGGACUUUUGGACGCUUCAGGCAGAUCGUCGGAGUCCAAGGAGCGUUGUAGGUGCGGCCAGUGGAUCGAGCGACGUCGCGACGCCGUGAAAUUGGACGCUGAUGGUGACGGUUUGGUUUACGUUCACGAGGCCGUAAAUAGCGAGAUCGAAAUUACGUCACUCAUCUGUACCUCCGUAACGUGACACUAGUCUGUCGCAUUGAACAGAGAUGAUCCAUCGGUAGAAAUUAAUUCUUAUCCCUUUGUUCUCUACAAUUAUUUCUUCCUUUAUGCAUGUGUCUCUUUGCUCUCUCUCUCUCUCUAUGUAUCUUCUGUCUCUCGCGAAAGAAUCUCGCUCCAAUGUCACGGCUUUGUCCCUGAACCAGAGAAACAAGCCGGACGAAUCGGCCAGGGCCUUUCUCCGAUUCCCGACCGAAGCCAACCAGCCGGAUAAAGAUUAUCUGAAGAAAGAAUGAGGAGGAGAGAGUGACGUGGAAUAAAAAAAGAAAUAACAAAAUCAACUAAGGAAGUAACAACAACGAGACUAUGAAAAACAUUAAAAAUCGCCUACAAUACAUAAAUACUCAUCAUGCGUCUUGUAAAAAUAUCGUUAACGAUCCCCAAAUCGAUAAAGCUAUUGUAUUUAUGCCGUAAGAACUUUUAUUUCUGUCCUUACUUCCGUAAGUGCCGAAAUAGACGUACCUGGCACACUGACGUAACUCAGUUACACAAGAUUUUCUAGGCGUCUUCGCGAAGGCGCCACUUAUUUGUUUCCUAUUUACAAUGUAAUUCCGCAUCGGCGCCACCGGUCACUCUCUCUUUCUCUCUCGCUCUCUGCCACCAAGCCUACCUCCAAGAGACCCUCUCACGGUACCCCAGUGACAUCGUACUAGACGAAUUAAGAUAUUGUCGACCAAUAUAUAUCUAGUUUGUGCUGGAUUUGUAAAUGGCCGGCCAUAAGUGUGCCGUUUCUAACGUGCCCCGACUGACGCGUAUAACGUAAGUCAGGGUUAAAGCUGGGCACCGUGAAAGCUUCUAAAAAUAGAGUUGGACCUCUCUAAAAAUAGCCCUUCUACGUGCACUCACGACUUCAACCAGGAGAAGGGCGACGGUAAGGAGCAAGGUAUACGAGGUACGCAUUCCAAUGGGCGGGUUAUCAGAGAUGGAUCCAUCCCACCUUCCAUGCUGGAAUGCAUCUCCAACGGCUUAAGACCAUUCCCGUGCCCUCGUAUGCGGCCGCGUACGUAUCUCCCGGAGUCUAAUAAGACGAUCACGUGGGCCGGCACUGUACACAGGGUGUCCGGAAUUAAGGCUCUAUUAUACGCCUUGGUGACAGACACCCCUUUUUCAGGUGUCCAGCAGGUAAUUCGACUCUAGAAUUCUUAAAUUGCAGUAUAUCCAACCCUAUGAAAUUUAAAAAAACAUCCCUAACAAUACAAAACUUCGACGUUGAAUAGUGCAUAAUUAUUUAACAACUUUUUUUUCAUAUUUUAGGUUAGGUCAUAUAAUACCUUACACUCCGGUAUUAUGUAUAUAGUAAAGAAGGGCUGUAUAUAUUUUUAUUAGACACCCUGUAGCACUUUAGUUCUUUAUACACACGUAUGGAGAAAGCGACCUAUAAUGACGUAACCUCUGAAUAUGAAUCGAAAUUCCUUGACUGUAUACAGUUGAUUUCCGAUAGUUCUUUACACAUAUAUCUUGUGUAUCGUUAAACCCGUAUAAUGUGGACCAUACGUAGAUCCAAGGGCGUUAGACCUUGGAUUGUAAUCUAAGAAACGUAUAUUCUUGUUCCUUUAACGAUUACACCAUCGUCUUAUCGAACAAGCGUGCUCGUCAGUCUAUGAAUAGUCCAAGAAAAUUUCCCAAGAUCAAGUGGAUCUCAAUUUCAUCAGGAGCCACAUAAGUCAUUUCAAGAAGUUCUAUUCCCUAAUAAGUUACUCGGUCUGCAUCAUACGAUGAGAAUGGAUACGACGAUCAUUUGAAUAUUGCCUUAAGCCUUUCUUUUGGAGAACUUUGACCCCUGACCAAGGUGCGUGUUGAAUAUUUGGUACCAGAACCCACAAGGAUAUCGAUGUACGUCUGAUUUUCAUCUCUUAGGCAUAUACUGUAAUUAUUGCAAAUUGAAUACAUUCACUGACCAAACGUUACACAGUCCUGAGGAACGAGUCAUAAGUUUGUCACAAUCAUCCUUUGUGUGAGUUCAGGAGGUUCUCUUCUUCUUCUGAGAAAGUAUCGUCAUCGUUAUUUGGAAAUGAGUCGGGUUGAUCGUCAGGAAGCGAAGGUUAACGAAUCUCCAAGAGGAAAUAAUUCUCGGAUUGUAUGAGUCGCUGCCAGGAAAACGGUUACGAGGUGGCUGAAGUGACGCCGCACGUGACGAAGAGGAUGACCGAUCCUUCUUGCCGAAAGUAGUCGAUUGGAUGAAGAAUUUGAAUUUUAAAAAAAUGUAAAAAACGAAAGAACCGGUCAUUGAAUUUUGAUGAGGUAAGAUCAGUCAUGAGACAAAGUUCAAAGUUCAUCCUGACUAUCGAUACGCUACUAAUUUCUUAACAGGGUCCAAGUGUGUUGAUACGCUAUUGUAAACACAAACCGAGUCAUCUUCUUGGUAUACCAGAGGCUGGCUAGCCUACGAUAGUCUUCUCGUUGAUGAUUCAUCGGCUAUCGGGGGACUCUGCGACGGAGACGUUCAGCUACCUAAAGCUUCGCCACGGUUGACGGCCUCUUCGAUUUGCCCGGAGCGAUCGGUGAUCUCAUCGUUAUCACACUGGGAUUCGGCAUUCCACAAGCAAUACGAUAUCUGAUUGAUGUACGAAGGCUGUUUCGUAUUGAAGAACAGGAUGAGUGCGGGCCCGUGACUUUGGGAUCGUCAAGUUGAAGAUCAAGAACUUCAUUCGCAUAGAUAAUCACAGGUCUGACGUUGAUUCGGCAUACCUGGACCAGUCUGAAAUUCUUUUAGUCUCGGACACCAAGCAUAGUUGAACAGACUGGAAAUCUGAUUCCCUGGGUACAUCCGGACUUCCGGUUUGGUUUAAUUCCUAUGAGAAAUCAUGGCGAUCCUUUCACUCGUACAGUUCAUACCUUACUACGUAUAUUGAUCGUCCCUGAACUUCGGUAUCUUUAUUAGAUUUAUCUUCUCAAGGAUGCUGUCUUACUGGACCGUGCAGAAUCUUUCUCGCAAGAGCUACUCCCAUUCAUAUGUACCUUCUAGCGAACAAAACAGAUACGACUAAGACGCGCGGUACUUGGGUAUUGUUGUGCAGCUACGCGUCGUUGCUUAUGUGUAUAGAUAUAGUGUAUUCUGCAAAACACGGCACAUAAAGAAAAGGUGUCGCGUUACUCAACACAUCGUCACCCGUUAUAUCUAAAUUCACCGAGUAACUGUCUAGACGAUAUACGCACGUACGAAUGAUAUAUCUAGAUAUAUAGAUAUACAUAUAAAUAUAAUUUGGCAUAACUCCAAGAUCAUGGUUUGGCGGUUUUCGCACGUUUUUUUAAAAAAAAAAUUGACUCUUAUUCAUCUAAUCACGUGUCAUUUAUCCAUAUUGAUCUCGACAGAGUCGAGCGAAAUGUCAGCGAUGGAAUGUAUAUAUACAUUGUUCACUCCAUUACAAUAAUCGUUUGUAUACAUAAGACCAUUGGGAUUCUCUUGAUGUUUCUUUAAUUCUCUUUUUUCUUUCUCUUAGCUCCGCGCAUGCGCAACCCGGAGAAUUAUUUGACGAGAGAAAGAGCGAAAGCUCCCGUUGGCCCCUGGCAAAAAGUCCCAGCAAAGAUGGCGACGAAAUAAAGACGAUAUUUUUAUAUCCGCGAGAGUAAGCUUUGCCGGCCGCCACCAGGCCUCGGUCUCUAUUAAUAUCCGCGGGCCGGGCUUCCUUUCGGCCUCCGCUCUCUGCUGCUCUCAUCCGCAGCCUCGCUCGCGCACAGCAAGACUUUUCAGAGUGGAGUAAGGCAAACCGCGCUACGAAAGCUAGAAGGAAGAAGGAUACUGUUGAAGUAUUAAAAAAAAAAAAACUUGAGAAAUAAAAAUCCAUAAAAAAAUAAAGUUUAACGAAAUUUCAAAAUAUUCGGUUGAUGACAGCAGAAUAAUAAAAAAAAAAUUUCUCAAAGUAAAAAUCGAAGAAAACCCAUCGUCUUGUACGCAUAAGAAUUUAUUGCAUACGGGGCAGCAAUAGGAAGCAAAUGUUCCUGGUUACGCCAUUGGCAAGAUAUGCUGGUCCUUCUCUUGCUAGAGUGUAUUCGUACCGUGUGCACUGGUGGGCUCACGUAAUCCCUGGAUCCACCUAUACCGAAGUUCGCGAGAUGCCCGUUCUGAACGUUCGCCAAAACACCCACGCAUUUUCCUUCGUUUGUAACGACAGAAACGAGAACCCAUAGGCAAGGCUAUUCGAUGAUACUUAGGUGGUAGCUGUGUUAUCAAUGUCCCACCCGGUAUAUGACGUAAGACAGGACGUAAGUAUUGGCCCGCCGUUGGCCUCUCGCUUGCGGCCUAUCGCUUUGAAUUUUCGUGCCGGUAAACAAAUCUCUGGAAUUGGAUCGACGAGUGGUUACGUCAUUUCUGCACCAGUGUCAAAAUAACAGGGGAGACUUUCUUGAGAUUUCUCGGGGAAGUAAAUAGUUUCAAAUGUUAUUUUUCAAUUUCUCUUUUUUUCUUCUCACCGUCCUCGCGGUACCGGAUAUGCUGUUUUGUAUUUGCGGACACUGCGAUCUACGCUAUUUCGCAUUCUCGAUGCAAUUGUAUAGGGGAAAUAGAAUUCAUGACGUCCUGGUAUUCACUUUGAGUGAUUUCCAGCAAAUGAAUUUUCUAGUUCGCCUCGGUACAAACUUGUCAGCGAUUAAUCAGACUUGACUUUGCUAUAUUAACUCGCCGUUUUACCUACAGGAAUUCGUACUUCUUAGAAAUCAAACUGAUCACUCUAUACAGUUCCUUCGGGUGCUUAUAAUACACGUACUUCUUUUUUUUUCUUUUCUCUUGUCUU